AUCGUACUCCCUCCGUCCCAAAAUUCUUGUCUUAAAUUUGUCUAGAUACGGAUGUAUAUAACACUAAAAUAUAACUAAUACAUCCGCAUUUAGACAAAACUAAGACAAGAAUUUUGGGACGGAGGGAGUACAAU
rfam:Triticum aestivum genome assembly, contig: Triticum_aestivum_CS42_TGACv1_scaffold_513439_6BS